UAUUUUCCUUUUUUUCCCUCCGCCGCGGUAAUACGGAAGGUCCGGGCGUUAUCCGGAUUUAUUGGGUUUAAAGGGAGCGUAGGCCGGAGAUUAAGCGUGUUGUGAAAUGUAGACGCUCAACGUCUGCACUGCAGCGCGAACUGGUUUCCUUGAGUACGCACAAAGUGGGCGGAAUUCGUGGUGUAGCGGUGAAAUGCUUAGAUAUCACGAAGAACUCCGAUUGCGAAGGCAGCUCACUGGAGCGCAACUGACGCUGAAGCUCGAAAGUGCGGGUAUCGAACAGG
rnacentral:rRNA from 1 species